GUUUUACAUACAACUGCAGGUGAGAAUCGUGUUGUGACUAAGGUAGGAGGAGGGCGGGGUAUUCAGAUGUAUCCCCGUGAUGGACAGCGUCAAGUCACGCGCAGCCCCGUGACGUCACGGAGUCACAAGACCAGUGGGGAGGUCGAGUCGGUCUAACUGUGGACUAGCCAAACAAAAAAUCACCACUUCAAACGACUAAUGCCGCCCACAGGGGAUUGAGAGAUCAAUAACCAAUACACUGCAAGUCUGUAACUGUUCAUACCUGGAAGUGCUAACGACAGCCAUGACACCCACCUCAGGAGGAGGCAGGAGGGUUAGGGCCAUGAACUAUGAGAUACAAGCAUCCUGUUGCUGCGUCCACAACGAUGGACCGUUGCUCGUUAGCACUCAGCACUGAUUACUCACCCACCUGACUGCUGAGGUGCUAAUGACGGCCACAGUGUGGACACGAGGAGAGACCGGAGGGAAUGGCUGUUACAAGCAGCGGGGCUGAGAUAGCAGAAGUGGUGCCACCGCCAGAGAAUGGAACCUAAGUCUGGCUGAGAACACAGCACUGGAGUAAGCAUGGAGGGAGAGACAGGGGGAAAAGGGGGUCGCUAGGCUAAGACGAUAAGAGGGGGCUCUUCAAGAAAAGAAAUUGUUGGGCUGAAAAGGAGGAAAUGGUGGGUCUCUUCCCUCCAUUCCCCACUCUUUACCUCUUCCUCCCCCUCCAUCCUCAACUUCACUCACGCGCGCGCGCGCCCUUUCCUGCUGGCCUCGCAGACCAUUGGAAGUUCUCACUACAAACCGAUCUGUGCCCAUUGCACUGCUACUUAUUGACAAGUAGUUUUGUCGUUAUGCUUUCAUUGUGCAUCUUGUUUUAGUUGGAUGAUAGUUCUACAUGUGGCUGCUCCUCUUUUUUUACAGUAACUAUAAUGAAUAAGCCGUCGUCGACAAAAUCAAUAAGUAAUUUGAAGGCGAGAAACAUAAACAUGAUUGUUUUGACAGUAAUCUUGCAAAUCAUUUUAUUGCUCGAAGGGUGUCUCCACAGAGACUGCUAUUACAAGAAGUACAAAAGAGAACAUCUUUCGACACGCAGCCAUUGACAUACAAGAACCAUUAAUAGAAUAUGGUUCCUGUGGUCCAAGAAAACAACAAAAGCCUAAUCAAAAUUAAUAGACGAGCUGGUAUAACAAUAAGCAAAUGGUACAUCCAUGCAGGUGAGCGCGCGUACGUACCCUUCACUACACACACCGCACACAGCACACACACACCACACAAAUCUCAAACACCCCACAAACCACACACGCCACACACACCACACACACCACACACACAUAUAUUACGCCGACACCAUCUGCGCACGCACACAACAACAAUCGUCCACACAAUAACAAACAACCCUUGUGGUUGUGUCUUUGUUGUCAUCAGUCCCCUACCUGAGUGCCUCUAUGUCUUUGCAAACGUGUGAGCAUGUUUGCACGUUCAUUUGCUUGCAUGCAUGUGUGUAGGCUAGCGUGCUCACCAACCUGUCUUGCCCAUGUAAUAUUAUUAUAUUAUAGUAUCAUCUUCCUUUCAAUAUUCCAUGUGUCUGAUUUUUCCAAAUUGUUAUUCUUCAUUCCCUUCGUCUUUUGUCCAGUGAGCUCUCUUUGUGAUCAUUGUGUACAACCACUCCAUGGGUUAUUUAGUCAUUUCAAUGCCAUCCGACAUCUGACAUCCCCACUGACUCUCCCUUUCAUUAUAAGUUUUGGUACUUUAGCUGCCAGAAUCGUUGACCUGCCAUUCUGAGACUUGCGUUUUAUUAGCGGUUACGAAACACUUUUGUCUACCCACCAAAAUCUCUCGAGAAGUAAAAGUUUUUCUUUCAAAAUGUUUUCAAGUAAAGCGCUAAAAGCUCUGCAUCCAGUUUAGAAUUAAUCCUAUGGUUCAUUCUCUCGCGGCCAUCAAAUGAGAGAAAACUAAGAAUUCAAUUGUUAGGUCUGACACCUUGGGCCCGUUGCUGUACCUGAUUCACGUGUCUGCUGCCGAAUAUCCGCAAAACUAGCCACACGUGAUUUUUUUUCCCCCAGGAAAAUUGCUAGAACAACAACGCACCUGCUUGUUUACUGUUUUCUGAACUUUCAUGGACACCCACCCCGAACUUCUCCCCGCCCCACCCCCGACACUACCCACCCUCAAUGAAAACUUGAGUUUGUAUGCUACUUCGUGCGUGCGAUCCUUCCUGCAUGCUUUCGACCAGCGGUUACAGGCCUGUCUUUGAUACCCAAGCCAUCAGGGCUCUGAACAGGCGGUCUUGUUCUCUCGCAGACGAGCGGGCAUCAGCUGAUUGAGAAGGAAAGGGCUCUCCUUUAAAAAAAACCCAUUCCUUGUCGCUCAUAGCCGCUGAACUACUUUCUUUUUCAGGUGAAGGAUGGGCAUGGGUGCUUUGACAUUCCUGUCGGUUUAAACAAAGAGACUGCAGAAACUCGUUAAUAUACACAGUGAAGUAACAAAAUAAAAAAAAAUGGCUUUUCUAUGCACGAUUUAUUCAAAUACAUAAA
rnacentral:lncRNA from 1 species